rnacentral:lncRNA from 1 species
CGGGUAGUCACAGUGUGGGUUGGUCAAGGCAACUGAGUGAAUAAGUCUUUCUCAAGAGAGUAUACUUAGUGACCAGAAAGGAAGGACAGACGUCCUGUUGGAUUUUAGAAUUCAGGUUCAUGCACAAGUCAAGACGGCUACCUCAAGGCACUAACCAGGAAGAGAAUGGUAAGCGGUAGGCCGCGGACAAACUGGGAAUACUCCAGUUUGCUUAAAUCAAUAGG